AGAGUGAACGCUGGCGGCAGGCCUAACACAUGCAAGUCGAACGGCAGCACAGAGGAGCUUGCUCCUUGGGUGGCGAGUGGCGGACGGGUGAGGAAUACAUCGGAAUCUGCCUUAUCGUGGGGGAUAACGUAGGGAAACUUACGCUAAUACCGCAUACGACCUACGGGUGAAAGCGGAGGACCUUCGGGCUUCGCGCGAUAAGAUGAGCCGAUGUCGGAUUAGCUAGGUUGGUGGGGUAAAGGCCCACCAAGGCUACGAUCCGUAGCUGGUCUGAGAGGAUGAUCAGCCACACUGGAACUGAGACACGGUCCAGACUCCUACGGGAGGCAGCAGUGGGGAAUAUU
rnacentral:rRNA from 1 species